UACGUAGGGUGCAAGCGUUAAUCGGAAUUACUGGGCGUAAAGCGUGCGCAGGCGGUUGUGCAAGACAGAUGUGAAAUCCCCCGGGCUUAACCUGGGAACUGCAUUUGUGACUGCACAGCUGGAGUGCGGCAGAGGGGGAUGGAAUUCCGCGUGUAGCAGUGAAAUGCGUAGAUAUGCGGAGGAACACCGAUGGCGAAGGCAAUCCCCUGGGCCUGCACUGACGCUCAUGCACGAAAGCGUGGGGAGCAAACAGG
rnacentral:rRNA from 1 species